UACGGGGGAGCAAACGUUGUUCGGAAUCACUGGGCGUAAAGGGCGCGUAGGCGGCCGGGUAAGUGGGGUGUGAAAGACCUCGUGGCUCCAACCAGAGAAAUUGACACUCCAAUACUGCCUGGCUUGAGUAUCGGAGAGGAGAGUGGAAUUCCCGGUAGUAGCGGUGAAAUGCGUAGAUAAUCGGGAGGAACACCUGCGGCGAAGGCGGGUUGCUGGGCUGACACUGACGCUGAGGCGCGAAAGCUAGGGGAGCGAACGGG
rnacentral:rRNA from 1 species